rnacentral:ncRNA from 2 species
AGGGCCAGAAGAGGAGCGUUAACCAGGUAGUUAUUGUGAAGAGAUCAAACUCUAUUGAGCAAUAAUGAGGGGGUUUAACGCCGAGGUAAUUGUAAAUUUGAUAAUACAAUUGCCGGUUGUUUUAGCUUAGUCGUUGUUAAACGUCGAUUAAGCAUUAUGCCAAGCGGAUCAAUAGUUGAGUCCGACUGGUAUUAGGUUGAAUCCUUGCAACUGUCACCUAUUAGGUGGAGAGCUUCUGGCCUU